UACGUAGGGGGCAAGCGUUGUCCGGAUUUAUUGGGCGUAAAGAGCGUGUAGGCGGCCAGACAAGUCUGCUGUGAAAACUCGAGGCUCAACCUCGAGCUGUCGGUGGAAACUGUCUGGCUAGAGUCCGGAAGAGGAGAGUGGAAUUCCUGGUGUAGCGGUGAAAUGCGCAGAUAUCAGGAAGAACACCUAUGGCGAAGGCAGCUCGCUGGGACGGUACUGACGCUGAGGCGCGAAAGCGUGGGGAGCGAACAGG
rnacentral:rRNA from 1 species